UACGUAGGGGGCUAGCGUUGUCCGGAUUUAUUGGGCGUAAAGAGCUCGUAGGCGGCUCAUUGCGUCAACCGUGAAAACCAGCAGCUCAACUGUUGGCUUGCGGUUGAUACGGGUGGGCUGGAGUUCGGUAGGGGAGACUGGAAUUCCUGGUGUAGCGGUGAAAUGCGCAGAUAUCAGGAGGAACACCGGUGGCGAAGGCGGGUCUCUGGGCCGAUACUGACGUGAGGAGCGAAAGCGUGGGGGAGCGAACAGG
rnacentral:rRNA from 1 species